rnacentral:rRNA from 1 species
AUCAACUUUCGAUGGUAGGAUAGAGGCCUACCAUGGUGGUAACGGGUAACGGGGUGUUAGGGCACGACACCGGAGAGGGAGCCUGAGAAACGGCUACCACAUCCAAGGAUGGCAGCAGGCGCGCAAAUUACCCAAUCCCGACACGGGGAGGUAGUGACAAUAAAUAACAAUACGGGGCUCUUUAGGGUCUCGUAAUUGGAAUGAGUACAAUUUAAAUCUCUUAACGAGGAACAAUUGGAGGGCAAGUCUGGUGCCAGCAGCCGCGGUAAUUCCAGCUCCAAUAGCGUAUAUUAAAGUUGUUGCAGUUAAAAAGCUCGUAGUUGAAUUUCGGGAUCAGCAGGUUGGUCGUGCCUCUGGUAUGCACUGGUUUCGCUGAUUCCUCCUUUCUGAAGAACUGUAAUGUCAUUAAUUUGGUGUUGCAGGGAAACAGGACUGUUACUUUGAAAAAAUUAGAGUGUUUAAAGCAAGCUAAGGCUUGAAUACAUUAGCAUGGAAUAAUGAAAUAGGACGUUUGAUCCUAUUUUGUUGGUUUCUAGGAUUGACGUAAUGAUUAAUAGGGAUAGUUGGGGGCAUUAGUAUUCAAUUGUCAGAGGUGAAAUUCUUGGAUUUAUUGAAGACUAACUACUGCGAAAGCAUUUGCCAAGGAUGUUUUCAUUAAUCAAGAACGAAAGUUAGGGGAUCGAAGACGAUCAGAUACCGUCGUAGUCUUAACCAUAAACUAUGCCGACUAGGGAUCGGAUGAUGUUAAUUUUUUAAUGACUCAUUCGGCGCCUUACGGGAAACCAAAGUGUUUGGGUUC